rnacentral:misc_RNA from 1 species
AGUUAACAUAACAUCUUAAUAUCUCUAAGGAUUAAAAAAAGCAAAAUCCAGUCAAGAAAUUUAGUCAAGAUUCAAAAAGCAGCAUAAUAUGUAACAUUUUGAAUCCAUAAUAUUUAAUAUUUACUUGCCCGUGGAACUACCUAAAAAUAUGAAACUGAUCAAGAAUCUGUUAUAAAUUAUUCAAGCAGACUAGUCAACUCAAGGGCCUCCUAGAGAGGAAUGUAACUUAUCUAACAUUCAAGCAAAUCAUCUUUCAUAUUCAUAGUUUAGGUAUACUCAAGAAGGGACUAGCCUCAUCAUGGCCAUUUG